rnacentral:rRNA from 1 species
GGGUUGUGAGGUUAAGCGACUAAGCGUACACGGUGGAUGCCUAGGCAGUCAGAGGCGAUGAAGGGCGUGCUAAUCUGCGAAAAGCGUCGGUAAGGUGAUAUGAACCGUUAUAACCGACGAUACCCGAAUGGGGAAACCCAGUGCAAUUCGUUGCACUAUUGCAUGGUGAAUACAUAGCCAUGCAAGGCGAACCGGGGGAACUGAAACAUCUAAGUACCCCGAGGAAAAGAAAUCAACCGAGAUUCCCCCAGUAGCGGCGAGCGAACGGGGAGGAGCCCAGAGUCUGAAUCAGUUUGUGUGUUAGUGGAAGCGUCUGGAAAGUCGCAGGGUACAGGGUGAUACUCCCGUACACAAAAACACACUUGCUGUGAACUCGAUGAGUAGGGCGGGACACGUGACAUCCUGUCUGAAUAUGGGGGGACCAUCCUCCAAGGCUAAAUACUCCUGACUGACCGAUAGUGAACCAGUACCGUGAGGGAAAGGCGAAAAGAACCCCGGCGAGGGGAGUGAAAUAGAACCUGAAACCGUGUACGUACAAGCAGUGGGAGCACCUUCGUGGUGUGACUGCGUACCUUUUGUAUAAUGGGUCAGCGACUUAUAUUUUGUAGCAAGGUUAACCGAAUAGGGGAGCCGUAGGGAAACCGAGUCUUAACUGGGCGUCUAGUUGCAAGGUAUAGACCCGAAACCCGGUGAUCUAGCCAUGGGCAGGUUGAAGGUUGGGUAACACUAACUGGAGGACCGAACCGACUAAUGUUGAAAAAUUAGCGGAUGACUUGUGGCUGGGGGUGAAAGGCCAAUCAAACCGGGAGAUAGCUGGUUCUCCCCGAAAGCUAUUUAGGUAGCGCCUCGUGAACUCAUCUUCGGGGGUAGAGCACUGUUUCGGCUAGGGGGCCAUCCCGGCUUACCAAACCGAUGCAAACUCCGAAUACCGAAGAAUGUUAUCACGGGAGACACACGGCGGGUGCUAACGUCCGUCGUGAAGAGGGAAACAACCCAGACCGCCAGCUAAGGUCCCAAAGUCAUGGUUAAGUGGGAAACGAUGUGGGAAGGCAUAGACAGCCAGGAUGUUGGCUUAGAAGCAGCCAUCAUUUAAAGAAAGCGUAAUAGCUCACUGGUCGAGUCGGCCUGCGCGGAAGAUGUAACGGGGCUAAACCAUGCACCGAAGCUGCGGCAGCGACGCUUAGGCGUUGUUGGGUAGGGGAGCGUUCUGUAAGCCGUUGAAGGUGACCUGUGAGGGUUGCUGGAGGUAUCAGAAGUGCGAAUGCUGACAUAAGUAACGAUAAUGCGGGUGAAAAACCCGCACGCCGGAAGACCAAGGGUUCCUGUCCAACGUUAAUCGGGGCAGGGUGAGUCGACCCCUAAGGCGAGGCUGAAAAGCGUAGUCGAUGGGAAACAGGUUAAUAUUCCUGUACUUGGUGUUACUGCGAAGGGGGGACGGAGAAGGCUAGGCUAGCCGGGCGACGGUUGUCCCGGUUUAAGCAUGUAGGCGGAGUGACUUGGUAAAUCCGGUUGCUUAUCAACGCUGAGGUGUGAUGACGAGUCACUACGGUGAUGAAGUAGUUGAUGCCAAGCUUCCAGGAAAAGCCUCUAAGCAUCAGGUAACAUUAAAUCGUACCCCAAACCGACACAGGUGGUCAGGUAGAGAAUACUCAGGCGCUUGAGAGAACUCGGGUGAAGGAACUAGGCAAAAUGGUGCCGUAACUUCGGGAGAAGGCACGCUGGCAUUAGGUAAAGGGACUUGCUCCCGGCGCCGAAGCCAGUCGCAGAUACCAGCUGGCUGCAACUGUUUAAUAAAAACACAGCACUGUGCAAACACGAAAGUGGACGUAUACGGUGUGACGCCUGCCCGGUGCUGGAAGGUUAAUUGAUGGGGUCAGCCGCAAGGCGAAGCUCUUGAUCGAAGCCCCAGUAAACGGCGGCCGUAACUAUAACGGUCCUAAGGUAGCGAAAUUCCUUGUCGGGUAAGUUCCGACCUGCACGAAUGGCGUAAUGAUGGCCAGGCUGUCUCCACCCGAGACUCAGUGAAAUUGAACUCGCUGUGAAGAUGCAGUGUACCCGCGGCAAGACGGAAAGACCCCGUGAACCUUUACUAUAGCUUGACACUGAACAUUGAGCCUUGAUGUGUAGGAUAGGUGGGAGGCAUUGAAGUGUGGACGCCAGUCUGCAUGGAGCCAACCUUGAAAUACCACCCUUUAAUGUUUGAUGUUCUAACUCGGCCCCGUAAUCCGGGGUGAGGACAGUGUCUGGUGGGUAGUUUGACUGGGGCGGUCUCCUCCCAAAGAGUAACGGAGGAGCACGAAGGUUAGCUAAUCACGGUCGGACAUCGUGAGGUUAGUGCAAAGGCAUAAGCUAGCUUGACUGCGAGAGUGACGGCUCGAGCAGGUACGAAAGUAGGUCUUAGUGAUCCGGUGGUUCUGAAUGGAAGGGCCAUCGCUCAACGGAUAAAAGGUACUCCGGGGAUAACAGGCUGAUACCGCCCAAGAGUUCAUAUCGACGGCGGUGUUUGGCACCUCGAUGUCGGCUCAUCACAUCCUGGGGCUGAAGUAGGUCCCAAGGGUAUGGCUGUUCGCCAUUUAAAGUGGUACGCGAGCUGGGUUUAGAACGUCGUGAGACAGUUCGGUCCCUAUCUGCCGUGGGCGUUGGAAGAUUGAGAGGGGCUGCUCCUAGUACGAGAGGACCGGAGUGGACGAAUCACUGGUGUUCGGGUUGUCAUGCCAAUGGCAUUGCCCGGUAGCUAAAUUCGGAAGAGAUAACCGCUGAAAGCAUCUAAGCGGGAAACUUGCCUCGAGAUGAGUCUUCCCUGGGGCUUUAAGCCCCCUGAAGGAACGUUAAAGACUAUGACGUUGAUAGGCUGGGUGUGUAAGUGCAGCGAUGCAUUGAGCUAACCAGUACUAAUGAUCCGUGAGGCUUAACCUUACAACACCGAAGGUGUUUUGUA